UACGAAGGGUGCAAGCGUUACUCGGAAUUACUGGGCGUAAAGCGUGCGUAGGUGGUGAGUUAAGUCUGUCGUGAAAGCCCCGGGCUCAACCUGGGAAUGGCGAUGGAUACUGGCUCGCUAGAGUGCGGUAGAGGAGAGUGGAAUUCCCGGUGUAGCAGUGAAAUGCGUAGAGAUCGGGGAGGAACAUCAGUUGCGAAGGCGGCUACCUGGCCCAUUCUUGACGCUGAGGCGCGAAAGCUAGGGGAGCAAACGGG
rnacentral:rRNA from 1 species